GACGAACGCUGGCGGCGUGCUUAACACAUGCGAGUCGAACGGAAAGGCCCUGCUUUUGUGGGGUGCUCGAGUGGCGAACGGGUGAGUAACACGUGAGUAACCUGCCCUUGACUUUGGGAUAACUUCAGGAAACUGGGGCUAAUACCGGAUAGGAGCUCCUGCUGCAUGGUGGGGGUUGGAAAGUUUCGGCGGUUGGGGAUGGACUCGCGGCUUAUCAGCUUGUUGGUGGGGUAGUGGCUUACCAAGGCUUUGACGGGUAGCCGGCCUGAGAGGGUGACCGGCCACAUUGGGACUGAGCUACGGCCCAGACUCCUACGGGAGGCAGCAGUGGGGAAUAUUGCACAAUGGGCGGAAGCCUGAUGCAGCAACGCCGCGUGCGGGAUGACGGCCUUCGGGUUGUAAACCGCUUUCGCCUGUGACGAAGCGUGAGUGACGGUAAUGGGUAAAGAAGCACCGGCUAACUACGUG
rnacentral:rRNA from 1 species